rnacentral:rRNA from 1 species
UACGAAGGGGGCUAGCGUUGCUCGGAUUUACUGGGCGUAAAGGGCGCGUAGGCGGACAGUUAAGUUGGGGGUGAAAGCCCGGGGCUCAACCUCGGAACUGCCUUCAAUACUGGCUGUCUUGAGUGUGAGAGAGGUGUGUGGAACUCCGAGUGUAGAGGUGAAAUUCGUAGAUAUUCGGAAGAACACCAGUGGCGAAGGCGACACACUGGCUCACUACUGACGCUGAGGCGCGAAAGCGUGGGGAGCAAACAGG